GAUGAACGCUGGCGGCGUGCCUAAUACAUGCAAGUCGAACGCAUAGCGAAAGGUGCUUGCACCUUUCACGUGAGUGGCGAACGGGUGAGUAACACGUGGACAACCUGCCUCAAGGCUGGGGAUAACAUUUGGAAACAGAUGCUAAUACCGAAUAAAACUUAGUGUCGCAUGACACAAAGUUAAAAGGCGCUUCGGCGUCACCUAGAGAUGGAUCCGCGGUGCAUUAGUUAGUUGGUGGGGUAAAGGCCUACCAAGACAAUGAUGCAUAGCCGAGUUGAGAGACUGAUCGGCCACAUUGGGACUGAGACACGGCCCAAACUCCUACGGGAGGCUGCAGUAGGGAAUCUUCCACAAUGGGCGAAAGCCUGAUGGAGCAACGCCGCGUGUGUGAUGAAGGCUUUCGGGUCGUAAAGCACUGUUGUAUGGGAAGAACAGCUAGAAUAGGAAAUGAUUUUAGUUUGACGGUACCAUACCAGAAAGGGACGGCUAAAUACGUG
rnacentral:rRNA from 1 species